AGAGUUUGAUCCUGGCUCAGGAUGAACGCUGGCGGCGUGCCUAACACAUGCAAGUCGAACGAAGCACCUUUUGAGAUUCUUCGGAUGAUCGAUCGGUGACUGAGUGGCGGACGGGUGAGUAACGCGUGGGUAACCUGCCCUGUACAGGGGGAUAACAGCUGGAAACGGCUGCUAAUACCGCAUAAGCGCACGAGGAGACAUCUCCUUGUGUGAAAAACUCCGGUGGUACAGGAUGGGCCCGCGUCUGAUUAGCUGGUUGGCAGGGUAACGGCCUACCAAGGCAACGAUCAGUAGCCGAUCUGAGAGGAUGAACGGCCACAUUGGAACUGAGACACGGUCCAAACACCUACGGGAGGCAGCAGUGGGGAAUAUUGCACAAUGGGGGAAACCCUGAUGCAGCGACGCCGCGUGGAGGAAGAAGGUCUUCGGAUUGUAAACUCCUGUUGUUGAGGAAGAUAAUGACGGUACUCAACAGGGAAGUGACGGCUAACUACGUGCCAGCAGCCGCGGUAAAACGUAGGUCACAAGCGUUGUCCGGAAUUACUGGGUGUAAAGGGAGCGCAGGCGGGCGAUCAAGUUGGGAGUGAAAUCCAUGGGCUCAACCCAUGAACUGCUUUCAAAACUGGUCGUCUUGAGUAGUGCAGAGGUAGGCGGAAUUCCCGGUGUAGCGGUGGAAUGCGUAGAUAUCGGGAGGAACGCCAGUGGCGAAGGCGGCCUACUGGGCACCAACUGACGCUGAGGCUCGAAAGUGUGGGUAGCAAACAGGAUUAGAUACCCUGGUAGUCCACACCGUAAACGAUGAUUACUAGGUGUUGGGAGAUUGACCCUCUCAGUGCCGCAGUUAACACAAUAAGUAAUCCACCUGGGGAGUACGACCGCAAGGUUGAAACUCAAAGGAAUUGACGGGGGCCCGCACAAGCAGUGGAGUAUGUGGUUUAAUUCGACGCAACGCGAAGAACCUUACCAAGUCUUGACAUCCCUUGACGAUGCUGGAAACAGUAUUUCUCUUCGGAGCAAGGAGACAGGUGGUGCAUGGUUGUCGUCAGCUCGUGUCGUGAGAUGUUGGGUUAAGUCCCGCAACGAGCGCAACCCUUAUGGUCAGUUACUACGCAAGAGGACUCUGGCCAGACUGCCGUUGACAAAACGGAGGAAGGUGGGGAUGACGUCAAAUCAUCAUGCCCUUUAUGACUUGGGCUACACACGUACUACAAUGGCGUUAAACAAAGGGAAGCAAGACCGCAAGGUGGAGCAAAACUCAGAAACAACGUCCAGUUCGGACUGCGGGCUGCAACUCGCCUGCACGAAGUCGGAAUUGCUAGUAAUCGUGGAUCAGCAUGCCACGGUGAAUACGUUCCCGGGCCUUGUACACACCGCCCGUCACACCAUGAGAGCCGGGGGGACCCGAAGUCGGUAGUCUAACCGCAAGGAGGACGCCGCCGAAGGUAAAACUGGUGAUUGGGGUGAAGUCGUAACAAGGU
rnacentral:rRNA from 1 species